GGGUUUGUAGCUCAAUAGGUAGAGCAGUGGGCUUUUAACCUACUGGUUGUGGGUUCGAGUCCCACUAGACCC
rnacentral:tRNA from 1 species